UGUUGUGGCCUCAAAGCUCUCACUAUUGCACAAUUAAGAUGUGCAAUAGUGGACGCUGCACAGGCCACACUGGCAUCAUUUGUUGUGCAGUGUCCACUAUUGCAUAAUUAAAAUGUGUCUUUUAUUUCAUGCCAGCUCUUUCUUGGUGACUUUUUUCAGGACAGCCACAGAGGUGACACAUAAAGAUAAAAAACAAGGCACACGAAUUUGAAUUUGAUGUGGCCUCAGGAAACACCCCAGAUUGCUUUGAGCAUACAGGAGCUUGUAUGAGAGGUCUCUGGGUGCUCAGUGCAACCAAAACCAGCUCUUUUUGGAGUGAAGUGACUUCUCUGGAACACGCUUUGUACUCGGUGACAUGGAAGACUGGGCCUGGAUGAGGUUCUUCACUCCCCUCUCUUCAGCUUUGUUUUGACUAGCGUGCCAACUCUAUGACACCAAAGGAGCAUACCAAGCAGGAGAUGCCUUUGAAAGGACAGAUGUUCCUUAGCUUAACCUGCCUCCUGCCCAAACUGCUACUCUCCUUCUCUGUUGUAUAUUUGUUCUUGCUCUAUAAAUAAUCAACUGGUGUAAGUCACAUAAAAAAUGUAACUGAUGUUCUGCUGACCUCUGAGCCCCAUGUCUUUGGGAGAAAAAGAGGAAACGUUGGCAGGAGAAAGGUUGACUGACUAGGUCAUGGUAAAUGAUUUUGAGCAAAAGGGCAAAUGGAAUGAACACCUCUCUGUUCUAGUAAGGACUACAGUAGGUGUCUGGUUUAGCUGUCCUCCAUAAAGAAGCAUUUUUGAUUAAAUAUGAUCGAUGAAGUAUGAUGAUCUCCUGCUUUGACAUGACAAUCUGGUGACUAAUUAAAAAAAACCAGCUACAUUUUGUUAAUUUUCUCACAAAUAAAAAUAAGAAAUACUGCAACUCUUUAAUACAACAUGCAUAUUAGAGUCCAAUUAAAAAGUCUUUUUACAAGAUUUGUGGGGUUGCAGAGCAUUUGCCCUCUUGCUGUGGCUACAGGGAUGAAUGGGUGAUUGUUCGUUGGCCCUUGUGAUAGCUCUCCUGGGGCCCAUCAAUUCACCGAGGCUCCUGAAACAUCAGGUCAUGGCUAACUCUUGCUCAGAGGCUGCAGCUCGUCCACACACGAGCUGAUUAUGCCCUAGCUAUAGCUCAGGACCUCCAGGGUGCACAGCUGGGUCCCUUAAAAAAAGCCUAGCUGAACGGUUUUAGAAACACUCCAGCUCCUCUUACCAAGUACUCACUCUCCACCGAGAACACUCAGAACACUGCAGAUAUCAAAUAUUGUUUUUUUGUCUGUUCUCUUUUGCUUGCCAAAGCCGCUGGAAACCGUAUUAAAGUAUGUGUUCCAUAUUCUUAACUAACAGACCUAGAAUUCUUUCCAAAAUUUCCAUCUUGUUUCUACUUUCCUGCUGGUAGUUUUUUUUUCCUUCACAGCUCCACUUUUACCUUCUCUUCCAAACUUUGCUCACACACAUCUUAAUUUUCUCUCUUUUCCCUCCCGCAGCACUGCUAUCAUGUUGUAUCAAUUACAGCUGACCGCCAGUCAGGUGGGUCUGCAAGAGAUUUCAGAUCACAUAGAGGCGAACAGAUCGCUCUGUGCCUCCACCCUACUCUAAAGACUACUACCUCAGGCCCUGCUGAGGUCUAGUCCUGGGCAGCACACAGAGACACCUGGCCAAACCACAGAAACUCUUCCAACUGCAGACUGCCUGAUGCUCACCAUGGAGAGAAUUCAGGCCAAAGGUGGAGGAAUUCACCAAGCGCUACUGCACUAUCUUUGACAUUUCUCUGGGUUUGAAUUUAUUUUUUAUUGCUUUGCAAAAAGUAUUUCUAAGCCUUAAAAAUUUUCCCCAAUGUAUCAUGGCAACAAGUUUAAGGUAUUCUAAUAGGACUGUAUGUAGCAAAGUAAC